AAGUCCAAGGACCUGGAGUACUGGGAUUCUAGACAGAACCUCAAGCGUGGGGUACACAGCAUGAACUGAGGUCACAGUGGGCUGGGCGGCAUGGCCAAAUGACUCAAUAGUGAAGUGAUGACUAAUCAUUGUAGUGCUCCUUAUAUCUCUCCCCCUAUAUCCCACCACAGUCACCACAAAGGCCAGAGCUGGUCCUAGAGUCUGGCAAAAGGCUGAGCAUGAAACUUCCAAUGGUGCCAGGCUUCCAGCAGGAGGAAUAGAGGCUGUGGUAAAGGAAACCGUUGGCAAAUGAAAGAAACCAGAAACUGUCACUACCCAUAACAACGAAACAACAAAAAAAUUUACAGAAAAGGAAGGGGAGACAAAGGAAAUUGUUUAAAGUGGUUGAAGCCUGUACAGUCUGAUGUGAUCAUUAGGCGUGAGGGUGCCGCAGCAUGGUGGUGCCUAAGACACUGACUCCAAUUUUCCAGUGAGAACAGGAAGGCUUUAAGCACCAAAGCCAUGCUGUCCAGUAAUACUGCUGAGCAAGAAAGCUUUUCUUGAAGGAAGAGAAUAGCGUUUAAUUGAGACUAUUUUUGUCAGUCUCCUAACAUGCUCCUCAGACCACUAAUAUGCAAAAGAACCUAAGGAUCUGGUCACCAAGUUACGUCAAAAGAGUUUACCCCAUAGUCCUUUUUACUGCCUUUUGCAGAACAAACGUUUAAUAAUGUCGCUAUUGUUCAUUGGUUAUCAAGAAAUAACUCAUUGUAACUCAGAAGUGCUUAGCAAAGAAUCUAUCUCAUAUGUACUUUCUUUAUUUCAAGAACUUUAAGGAGGCAGGUUUUCUACGUGUGUUCACCAAAGCGCCAAGAUUUUUUUUAAUAUUUUGAGAAAAUAUUUUCAGUAAAUCUGUAUUCAUUGAAUGAAAUAUUAAGUGGAUCCAUAAAGAAGCAGAUGAUAUAAGUCCCAGGAUAACAUCAGGAGAAUCUGAACACAGUGUAGCUGAAGCAUUUCAUCACCCCCCAACAAGAAAAUUGCUAUUUUGCCAACUAUUCUACCACAUUGCAGUGUUUCUAAGAUCUACAUUUUUUUCACAUUUAUUUCUAAAAAUCAAAAUGUGAAUUGCAGUCAACUGGUGACAUCUUAGAUCUGAUGAGAUAUGGUGGUUCUCCUGGAAAAGCAAAAGUUAGUAAUUUUCAGCAUAUCAUUGGCAUCCAAUGUUUAACUCUGGGGGGGUCAAAAGACAUCUUCAAGCACUAGUGAAGAAGACAUAUUUAAUUUGAGGACAUUUUUAUUAUAAUUUAGUAGGUAAGUGAUGUUCCUUCAAGGCAUUCAAGGAACCCACUCUGGAAUAGACUAAAGAGACUCUGAGUCAGUUAGUGUUGCCCACGAGGGUCACAGCCGGUCAAUGGCAGACCUGGACUGAGGUUCCUGCCCAGUCUGGAGGGUCAACACAGGGUGUGUUGUCCUGCUACCUGUCAGAGCAGGCACAAAGCAAGACUCAGUGAGGCAGACCCCGAUUUGCUCUGAAGCAUCCUUCUAUCUGGGCAUUGGCAGAACUCCCAAAUGAGUGGGUAAAGGUACCAAAAAAGUUCAGCCUCAAAUGAGUGGGUCAGUAAGACAUGAGACAGUGAAACGUUGUUCAAUUGUGGGACAUGGGAUUGGCUUGGCAGAGUCACUCUGCUCCAUGCUCAGCCUGCAGCCUCCUCCCUGGUAUCAAGGCCUUCCUACUUCCAGGUUCAUCUUUUGAAAUACAUCAUUUAUUUUCAAAAUAUACUGAUGUUAAUAAAAAUAAUGCCAAAGAUAUACUAAAAGUUUAUUUUCUAUAUCUUUUGGAAAAUUUAUAAAUUUCCAUAUAAAGAAAAUGAAAAUGUCUUUUAAAUUUUUUAGCAUGCAAAACCACAGUAAUCCAAAGUAUACAUUAGUUAUGAGCUAAAAUUAUACCAUCUGAAGGUGCAUUUUAUGAGCAAUGCAUACAAUGUCUAUUAACAAAUUAUACCAACAUGUUAUUUGUAAUACGUUAAAUACUUUUACUCAUAAUGCUUUGUAAGCUUUAAAGGGCCCUACUUAAUUAGAUGGGAUAAAUGAACACAGCACAAACUUUCAUUUUUUUUUAAUGCCUUUCAGCAAGUGAUCAAAUUUUGAAAUUUAUCUCAGCGUUCUCUUUUUUCCUGCUUCCCCAAAACAUGGUAAUCACCUUGUAUGUAUACCAUUGGCCUUGUCGUUGGCUGUUAUUGCAUAGUAGAUGUUGAGUUUUUAAAUUUGAUAUUUGAUCUUGACUUAACCUAAGUCUCAGUUUCUCCCUUUGAAAUGAGGAUAAUGAUAUUUACUUAGCAGAGUGUUAUUAGGAGUAAAUGAGACAACAUAUGUGAAACAAAGCAAAGCAGCCCCUUUCCUGUAAUAAGU
rnacentral:lncRNA from 1 species